AGUGCUAGACGCUGAGUCUAGCUUUUCCUUAGUGUAGUAAGCUAGGGGAAUAAGCGGGGGGCAAGCCUGGUGUCAGCCGCCGCGGUAAUACCAGCUCCGCGAGUGGUCGGGACGAUUAUUGGGCCUAAAGCGUCCGUAGCCGGCCUAGCAAGUCUCUGGUUAAACUUCAAGGCUUAACCUUGAGAUUGCUGGAGAUACUGCUAGGCUAGGGGGCGGGAGAGGUUGAGGGUACUUCACGGGUAGGGGCGAAAUCCUAUAAUCCGUGAAGGACCACCAGUGGCGAAGGCGCUCAACUGGAACGCGCCCGACGGUGAGGGACGAAAGCCAGGGGAGCAAAGGGGAUUAGAUACCCCCGUAGUCCUGGCUGUAAACGAUGCGGGCUAGGUGUUGGGUUGGCUUCGUGCCAACCCGGUGCCGCAGUGAAGGCGAUAAGCCCGCCGCCUGGGAAGUACGGCUGCAAGGCUGAAACUUAAAGGAAUUGGCGGGGGAGCACCACAAGGGGUGAAGCCUGCGGCUUAAUUGGAUUCAACGCCGGG
rnacentral:rRNA from 1 species